rnacentral:rRNA from 1 species
UACGUAGGGGGCAAGCGUUGUCCGGAUUUAUUGGGCGUAAAGAGCGUGUAGGCGGUCAGGUAGGUCCGUUGUGAAAACUCGAGGCUCAACCUCGAGACGCCGAUGGAAACCAUCUGACUAGAGUCCGGAAGAGGAGAGUGGAAUUCCUGGUGUAGCGGUGAAAUGCGCAGAUAUCAGGAAGAACACCCGUGGCGAAGGCGGCUCUCUAGUACGGUACUGACGCUGAGGAGCGAAAGCGUGGGGAGCGAACAGG